AUUGAACGCUGGCGGCAUGCUUUACACAUGCAAGUCGAACGGUAACAGGUUAAGCUGACGAGUGGCGAACGGGUGAGUAAUGCAUCGGAACGUGCCCGAUCGUGGGGGAUAACGCAGCGAAAGCUGCGCUAAUACCGCAUACGAUCUGAGGAUGAAAGCGGGGGACCGUAAGGCCUCGCGCGAUCGGAGCGGCCGAUGUCAGAUUAGGUAGUUGGUGGGGUAAAGGCUCACCAAGCCGACGAUCUGUAGCUGGUCUGAGAGGACGACCAGCCACACUGGGACUGAGACACGGCCCAGACUCCUACGGGAGGCAGCAGUGGGGAAUUUUGGACAAUGGGCGCAAGCCUGAUCCAGCAAUGCCGCGUGCAGGAAGAAGGCCUUCGGGUUGUAAACUGCUUUUGUACGGAGCGAAAAGGCUUUCUCUAAUACAGGAGGCUGAUGACGGUACCGUAAGAAUAAGCACCGGCUAACUACGUGCCAGCAGCCGCAGUAAAAC
rnacentral:rRNA from 1 species